rnacentral:rRNA from 1 species
GUAGGUGGCAAGCGUUGUCCGGAAUUAUUGGGCGUAAAGCGCGCGCAGGCGGUUCUUUAAGUCUGAUGUGAAAGCCCACGGCUCAACCGUGGAGGGUCAUUGGAAACUGGAGAACUUGAGUACAGAAGAGGAAAGCGGAAUUCCACGUGUAGCGGUGAAAUGCGUAGAGAUGUGGAGGAACACCAGUGGCGAAGGCGGCUUUCUGGUCUGUAACUGACGCUGAGGCGCGAAAGCGUGGGGAGCAAACAGGAUUAGAUACCUGGUAGUCCACGCCGUAAACGAUGAGUGCUAAGUGUUAGGGGGGUUUCCGCCCCCCUUAGUGCUGCAGCUAACGCAUUAAGCACUCCGCCUGGGAGUACGGCCGCAGGGCUG